rnacentral:piRNA from 1 species
GCCAGUCCUACAGAAAACAGUUAAUAUUGCC